rnacentral:rRNA from 1 species
GUGUCACCCGCCGCGGUAAUACAGAGGGUGCAAGCGUUAAUCGGAAUUACUGGGCGUAAAGCGCGCGUAGGUGGUUUGUUAAGUUGGAUGUGAAAUCCCCGGGCUCAACCUGGGAACUGCAUUCAAAACUGACUGUCUAGAGUGUGGUAGAGGGUGGUGGAAUUUCCUGUGUAGCGGUGAAAUGCGUAGAUAUAGGAAGGAACCCCAGUGGCGAAGGCGACCACCUGGACCAACACUGACACUGAGGUGCGAAAGCGUGGGGAGCAAACAGGAUUAGAAACCCUAGUAGUCC